rnacentral:lncRNA from 1 species
UGUAUGUGUGUGUAUGUGUGUAUGUGUGUGUGUGUUACACACAUGCAUAAGGAAUGCACACACGUGCACGAAAAGAAACAUGCACAGAAGAACGUACACUUUUUUUAUAAAUCAAACAAAAGCAAACACACACCUUUUCCGUGCCACCCGCGGCAGCCACGACAUGUGUUGUGACCCCCGGGUCAUAGGUGGUUAGACAGUUGGCCCCCAACGACAUUGCCAACUGCCAUAACGGCUCCCUGAGGGGGUUACGGUCUUGAGGCCAGCAGCGGCUGAAGGUGAUACAGCAACCCUGAGGCAUCAACUCCAGGGGGGGGGAGGGAGGGGGGAGGGAGGGAGGGAGGAGGCAAAAGGGGGCCUGAUGUCAAGGAUAUGCCCGUGUCACUCGGCUAAUGUACAUAUCUCCCCCUCCCCUCCCCUCCCCCCGCCCCCCCCCUCCCUCGCCAGCACCCCGGCUGCACAAACACAGCUGCUGCCAGUGGCAGUGGCAUUUCCUCAAGGUCGAACUGACGGAUGCAGACGUACGAUAUACGUACAGGUCUAUAAUUACGUAUACGUACGUAUGUAUAACUGUCUUGCACUAGGCUCAUCUUCACUUCCUAGCUAGACUGUGGAUAGGUACGAGUGCGGCCAUUACCGUUCGUACACAUCUCGUCGCGCAGAGGAAAUAACGGCGGUAAUGGGCUAAACCACUGCUGUUUGAAAAACUGCCGAGUGAGGCACUGCUGUUACAUGAUCCUCAACCUCCUCCUCCUCCUCAACCUCCUCCUCAACCUCCUGCUACUCCCUCCCAACCUCCUCAACCUCCCACCUGCAGUAUCUCACGGCGCUGCUCGGACAGAAUGUCCCGCACAUCCCUUCGCUCCAGGGGGGGCAGUGAGGGAUCAUCCGCGGAGAAAAACCUGCGGAUGCGGAGGCGUUGCGGACGGGUUGAGGGUUUUGGGGUUUCGGAGCCCGAGGGGCCCUCUCGACGACAUGGAUGGCACGACAACGGGAAAUGACGAUGGCGAUGAUGGAAAGGGCGGUUGAGAGCUUUCCCCCCCCACCCCCGGGAAGGUGCUGAAAUAUAUGAUGUCACUCUCGACAUCAUCAUCAUCAUCAUCAUCCGGCGCGGGCCGGGACCACAAACGCUAAAAAAGAAGCCGACUUCGCAUCACCUCCGCUUCCACUCAACCUCUUUUCGCCAUCAGAAAUACACACAUACAUACUCACAGCUCAUGCAUGGACGCGCGUGUGUACACAUGCAAUGGAUGCGGAUAUGCCGUACCGUGUGUGUACGGCGCGCAGUACACGCAUAUGGGCGGCCAGAGCGCCAUCCGUAGCGCUCUCAUCGCUGUCCUGAAGGUGCCCAUUGGGGGGAGGGGGGCAGUGGUGGCGGAGGGGGGGGGGAAUGGGCCGGGAGGGGGGUUAGCGACAACCCCAAAUGCUGGCGUGUGUGUGGUGGUGGUGGUGGGGGGGGGUUGGGGGGGAAAGACGAACCACGAACCAGUGAAGCUGGGGGGGAACAGACAGUCAGACGAAGGGGCGUGACGGAGGGGCGUGACGGAGGGGGGACCAGGGGGGGUGUUCUGGGUUUUAAAAAAAGGCGGGAAAUGAAGGACCGCGAAUUCACACUGAGGUAUUCCGGAUGAGGGGGGAGAAGUCGCGGGGAAAAAGGGUGAGGUGGAGUGGGGAAGAUGGUGGUGAGGUGUUGUACUGCCCAGCCCGCCAGUUGGCAGUUAGUGGUUGGAGUGACUUCGGAGGGAGCGGAAAGUGACGGAUCGCAAAAGAAGACGAUUAAAAUUGCCGCAUCCCUGUGUCGUACAAGAAGCCGUACAGGAGCUCUCCCAACGCUUCCCUACCUGCUCAAGCAGUGCCGUACCGUCUACACGCCACUUCCGCAGGUCCGACGGGAAAUAGUGGUAACGCUCAACCUGGAAAUCGUGCAGUUCCCGAUAAAUUAAUUAUUUUAAUAAACUUGUUAACAAAUUCUACUUCUUCGAUGUUUGAUAUGGCGGUGGAGAAGCACUGGCCCAGAAAAGACGCGCAACGGCCAGGCAACGGAAAACGGCGUAAAAAAGGUACUUCGCUAUCUUGCCGUACAACGGAAUAGCGGAAUAUAAUAAAAUUAAAACAUUAAAAAAGAACUAAAACCUACAGCGAUGUGGGACCGCCCCUCCUACCUGCAACAGAUUCCUCCGGUGUCCUGGCCAAACCGCCUCCGUGUCGUCCAAUACCAGAGCAAGCUCGUCCGCUGAACUGCGGUAGUUGACAGUUAGGUGUUAGCAGUUGGCAGCAAACGGUUGGGGCACAUGCCGCUAGAUAAGUCGGUUUCAAAUAUAGUUGAUCGUUGGCAGUUGGCUGCUUAAACUUAGUACGGAUCAGCAACGCGAUGCUGUCCAACCUCAUAGCCGCUCAACCAACUCCCGCUCCCGCCAGUUAGUUAGUUAGUUAGUUACUUCCCAAAACGUCCCUCUUGCGCUCCAGCUCUUCCCCCGACCCUUCCCCAUUCACCUCUUCUAUUUCGGCGCUUAUCAAUCCUUACAUUCCCCUCCCUUUUCCCCUACCGACAUACAUACCUCAAAACACACAUGCCAGGUUUAGGGAAUCGCACGACGAUGCAGAGUACGACAAAACCAACCGCUGCUGCCGACGCCGAAAGCACCGACUCCAACGCAUCAACUGCCCCUCGUGCCGGGUUUCGGUGUAUUAGGGUGGCAGCACGACGUUCCCCCUCCCCCUCCCCUCAGUUCUGGACAUGGCCGUGGAGUAUCCGGCAUAUGGAUGGACAGAAUAACUAGAUAAUUACAGUGCAUUCGAUCAGUCUUUAACCCCCCACCCCAUCCCCCCUCUUCCCCUACUUCUUUCUGUUCCCCUCUUUGCCCAAAACCCAAAACCCUCCCCCACCCCCUCACUCACAGCAGCACGUCAAGAUCCUUCGCGGUUGCGGUGGUGGAGUGGUCUUUUGCGAUAACAGAGGAGAACAACUUGCCAGUGGGGUCAAGCAACCUGUGCGCGUGCGUAUGCGUGUGUGUAUGUGUAAGUGUGUUUUGGGGGACGGGUAAGGGGGGGAAAUGGGCUGUCGAGGGUUGGAGGACGGGACGGACGGGAAAGGGCCGGGGGAAGGCCGGGGAGCGGGGGGUUUAGCAAGGGGAAUCAGUGAUACGUGCGCGAGUGGGGUAUUUCUUUCCGUACCGUGCCGUACACAGAAUACGCAGGAUAUGUACCUGCAUACAUACACGCAUACAUGGCUCGCAGUUUACGGGCAUACGCAUACACGCGACGUGCGAACCGACCAGCACUUUCCCCUCUCCCCCUCAGACCCCUCGUGCCCAAAUCCGUGUCUGAAAAACACCCACGCUCCCCUUCCCCCCUCUUUUCCUGCUUUCCCUCCCCCCCUCCCUCCCCACAAACACACGCACGCCGUCUCACUUCCGAACCUCCGCCGCGUACGUCUUAUCCCCCAUCGUGUAAAUGUGCAUCUCGUAAUCGUCUCUCAAACCCUGGUAGGUCAAAUUUGUGGGUUGCGGGUGCGGGUGGGAGGGUACGUGUAUAUGCGGGGGGGGGGCCAUUUCAGGCACAAGUAUACGACAGCUGCACGACAGCGACAACGACCCAAACCGGAAACCCCACUUCCCCUUCUCCUAACCCACAUACCCCACCUCCAAGAACUCGAACACCCCGGGCCGGAGUUUGGUCCACAACUUAUUUUCCGCAAGUCGGUGCAGCAGCCGCCGAGGGCCCAGGUUAGCCUCCUGGGGGGCCGGGGGUGGGGGUUUGGAGUGGGUUUGGAGGGUGGUGGAGGGGUGGCGGAGGGGGUGGUGGAGGGGGCUUGGAUGGUUGGUGGAGGGGGGAAGACGAGCCACCGGGGGGUCAAGGUGGGAGGGGGGAGGAAAGGCAAACGGACCCGAAAUGGGUCUGGGAGGAAAAGGAAGGGAAAGGAUCGUAAAUGAGAUAACGCCUACACGUACGCCCCCUUCCUCACAUUUUCUUAAAACACAAAUACAACACCCCAGCACAUACACAUACACACACCCCUCCCUCCCCCCCGCACCUCCUCGCGGCGCAGCACCUCGGCCAACUGGGUUGCCGUAUCCGGCCCCACCUCCGAGGUGUGUACGGAAUUGAGCAGAGUGUGAUCCAGAUCCAAAAUCAAAAUCAGUCGCCGCCGGGACAACAGCCGUGUGACGGUUUCCCUUCAUAAUUCAUCAAGGGGAGAGGAAAGAGGCCCCGGCCCCCGGGGGAGGGAAGAGGGGGUGGGGGUAGUCCUGUGGGUUUUAAAUCAAUGCAAAGGUCUGCUUUGUUAUGUUGGAAUGCCAUGUCAUGUCAUGUUCCGUUACGUUACGUUAUGUUGAUGGGGGGUGUUACACACUGUGUGGGCGGCUCUCGUCCUGAGAAAGGACGAGCACCGCGCAAGGCCCUGACCGGACCGGGCCGGGGGACGAAACACAGCGCGGGGGUGGGCUCGCGGCUCGGGGCUAGUUUCGUCUGUUCCUCUCCGCGCGCCUCACUCACUCACUCACUCACUCACUCGCUCACUCGCUCACUCACUCGCUCACUCACUCACUCGCUCACUCACUCACUCGCUCACUCACUCACUCACUCACUCACUCGCUCACUCGCUCACUCACUCGCUCACUCACUCGCUCACUCACUCACUCACUCACUCACUCACUCACUCGCUCACUCACUCACUCACUCACUCACUCGCGCCACAGCCUCUGGGCGCUCUCCCAGCCCCUGGCUAUAGGCAACACAGCGGCGCAGAAGAAGACUGCGAACCGAACUAAGCGAGAGCCGCGCGAGAGGCGCCACACAACCUCUAGGAACCCUAAACAGGCUAUCUGCCCCCAUAUUGCGCCUGGCCUGCCUAUUCGCGCGCUCUCGUCCCUCUUGACCGCCAAAACAAAAACAAAUAUGUAAUAUGUUAUGUAUGUUCCCACCGUCACAAACACCGUCACGACACAUACAUACAUACACAUACAUACAUACACAUACAUACAUACAUACAUACACACACCUGCGAAUGCGGUCCGCCUCGUCCGUGCUGACUUCUACCUCCUUACUCGCGUGGAGGUGCUUAAGCCGUACAACACCCGACUGCAUGUACGACAUGAGAGAAUACGCAUUAUACAACGUAAGAAUGUUGCGGAGCUCGGGGUUGAAUAUACGAGGUGGGAAGGAAGGAGAGCAUAGCGGGGUCUGCGUAGCGGGGCCUGGAUUCAUAUGGAUUUAAAGGAGUAGUAUCCAAAAUGAAAAGUAGAUUCAAACGGAGUGGAUCCAAGCCCUGUGUUGCUGAUACGUCCUACCUCGUCCAAUCCGCCGUACAUCGUCGUACAAACGCAAAUACCCUCGUGCACACUGACACCCCACAAGUUCCCACACGUGGCGCGAUCCCUUCGCCCUAUUGUGUGAGGCACCAGACAAAGGGAAUUGCAAUAAACGGUUGACUAACCAACCAACUGACCAACUAACGCGACAUGGCACACCAACGGCUCGCCCCAGCAGCCUACCCGGACACCCCCGGCGGCGGGCCAACCGCCAACCGCCCCUGCGACCGCCAGGUAUCCGCUUCCACUGCUGCUGCCGCCAACACCAGCGACGCCGCCAAGGUACUGCCCGUACUUGUCGUACUCUGCGUCUGCUUGCGCCGCCGCUGCUGCUGCCACUGCCGCCUCUACUGCCGCUUCUUUACUAAUGCCGCAGAGUCCGCACAAUCCAAACACCCAAACAGGAUGGGCGCAUGGGGAAGUGGGGGGGGAUGCGGAGGGGGAUGUGCCGGCUGCGGCGGCGGCGCCGCCGCCACCGUCGUUGCGGCGCCGGCUGGCGGCGCCGGCACCACCGCAGUCGCUGAACCUGACCACACGUUGUCGCUUGGGUGGCGGGGGAUGGUAUCCUGCCAUUUGUUUGAGGUUGCGGAUUGAAAAUGCGGGGAAGGACGGAAUUAUCGAAGGGGCCACAAAGCGAGUUCGAUAAUUGCCGAUGAGGGGUGGGACAGGAAGAGUCGGGAGACGGAAGGGGCGGGUAAGGAAAGACCUGAGAAAAGGAAGGGGAGCGGAGAAGGGAAAAAGGAGGGACGGGGAAGGGGCCGUAGAGUAUGAAAGCGUUUUAAGGACGGAAAGGAGAUAAAUCCGCCUUGGGUAUGUUUUCCAUGCUGCAAGGUUCGUGCAUGUCAUUAACAUUUUAGGUGUUUCAAACCCCAUUCCUUCCGGGGCCGUUUCAGAGCUUUACUGAGGUCCAAAGCGACAUGAAGAUUUGGGCCGUACAGUAGGUGGCGCCUGGGAGCGGAGGUCUGCUGCUGAUUUGUCCCACUCCUCGGGAUGUUACGUUGGGACACAACCCAACUCUGACAGGAAAUUGCGCGUGUUACGGGGUAGUACGUAGUCGUCAUGAGCAUGUGCAAGGAAAGAGUUGCUUAUACCUACGCAAGUUUAGCCUCGACAGCUGCACCUAAUAUAGAUGCAACCCGAGGCUGCCCAGGCAAGCAACCUCGUGUCUUGCUCACCAGUAUCCUCUUGAAGCGCCUCGAUUUCGGUAAAGCCUUGAUCACCUAGUUCGUCCAAGUCAACCUCAGAGCUGGAAGAAGAAUUCCCGCCCUCGUCGUCGUGCUUUGGGAUGUUUCCGUCAUCGUCAUUAGCCUGUGUACAUAUUAAGCUUAGGCAAGAUCAUGUGUACCUAUGCAGGCAAGAUGUCCCAGCUAUUUAUGUCAACUAACCUGCUCUUCUGCUUCAUCCUCGCCAAACUCGCCAUCGAAAGCAGCCGCAAGCUCGUCAUCUAAACUGCCUGGUGGAGAACCUUGAUCUGACAUUGCUAUUGCUAAAAACAGAUCGCAUAUGUAUGUUGCAAUUCACGGCGCAACUAAGCAGGGACUUCUUAAAAAAGCCUCAGAGCCUUAAGAUUUCCUUGUGCUGAGGCUUGAUGCGCCAAGCAAGCAGAACUUUAAGAUUGUACAUUGCGACAAUAUGACGGAGCUGCAGCACCUGUCCUCGAGACGCCGUGAGGUCCGACAAACCACACUGCUACAACGAACCUCGGCGAAUCCCAACGCUCGCUGCACCGAACUCUACUGUCUCUAAACCACCUAACCAACCGGGCAUGCGCGUUUCAUUUAUCGAGUCAGUCAGCAGCCAAAUCGGUUAGCAAUCACACUCUUUCUUGGAGUGCAGCGAAACGGUCAGCACAAACCCAUCGACGCACCUGUACAGAUGGCAGUUCUUCCCUAUCUUUCAACGCGCGCUCGCUGCUCCCCCGGCCCCUCUUGAGCACAAUAUUGAGACACCUUAGGUCGGGAGGGGGACGCGCCCUGGUGUGUCCAUUGCUGGUGCUAGCUAGCUAGCUGCUGGACGGCGGCUGCCAUGAAAUUAACACAUAUUCCGCAAAUCUGCGCGUCCAGACCAUCCCGCAAAUGCAUAACUUAUGACAUCGAUGUUAGGCGCCAUGAUUUCAGUGAAGCGCCAUGGAUUCAAAAAGUGUUGCAAAUCUCGGAGUUUAGAUUCGAUAGAUUUACUCAACAAAAAUAGCUUUAGCCAGCUGACACGUCAGCUCGUUUCUUACAGACGUUGUAUUCACAGCUGGUGUAUGCAUGUGCCCAUCCGUCGAGCUGUCAGUCCUUUUUUAUAAUUGCUCCAGCCAAGUACUGGCACUUGGCAGCUGACGCAGCAUUAUGCGUUAGGGCUGUGUGGCCUCCAGAGAUUCGGGCCGUUAGUUGGUUAUCGGUUAAUAACCCAACCGCCUUGUCGACACCCACGCAAAAUUCAGACCGACCGACCGACCGACGGGCUGACCAGAAGACCCAAACGUGGACGGACAGACAGAUAGACAGACAAAUAGACGGACGUACACCACACGUACACAAUGCCCAAAUCGCAAAAUGCAAGCAAACAGUCCGCAAGGGACGUUCGGGCUGUCGUUGCUUGGCAACCCAAACACAGGUAUCUGUACGGCAUUUACUAAACCAACAGUGCUAGUAACGCCGUACAAGCACGAAAGUCGAACACACUUUAAAAGCCUGCGACAUAGUCAGCAUGCUCUGUCUGUCUCUCUGUCAGCCUCAUAGCCGCACUCUACACCCUCCACGCCUCUUUCGCUCCCCGUAACGGUCAACUGGGAAAUCGCAUGUGUGCACAACGAAGCCUUGAGGUGACAGCGCAAGCAGUACAAACAAAAAACACAUCUAAUAAAUGACAUAGACAACUAGACCAACGUCUCUAACGGCUGCUUGGUGUGCACGUGCACACGGUGACAACAUCGCAGUAGCAGCAGUAGCAGGCAGCAGAGGUAGCCGGCCGCCGCCCGCACCACAGCCACCGAUGCCAACACCCCGGGGACCUCCCCAUUUGCCACUCAUCACUUCUGUGAUGACAUAAAUAUAAAUAUGUGUGUGUAUGUAUGUAUGUGUGUGUAUGUAUGUAUGUGUGUAUGUAUGUAUGUGUGUAUGUAUGUGUGUGUAUGUAUGUGUGUGUAUGUAUGUGUGUGUAUGACUUAGAUUACACUGUGAGCCGCCAGGGGCCGAAGCCGAAACACAGCGCAAGGGUCAGGAGCACACAGCACAAGUGUGUGUGUAUGUGUGUGUCUCGAGAGAUCAAGAUCUGCGUAUAUGCCGCAGCUGUGUUAGACCCAACAACACACAUCCAAAGAUAGCCUCGCGCCACUGCGUCAUAUUACACCAGUACUGGAGUAUCAUUACAGGAAUAUCCGUACUGGUUCCAUUCUGUCGUACUGAUGUAAAGGAAUCAUUUUACAUCCGAGCACAUUCACAGCUCAUGUAGUAGUUGGCCGCUGCUGAAAGGCCUCUCGAGAUGCUCGUGGAGAGCUUUGCACGUAUUUGUACAUGUUGUGUGUGCCGAACUGUGUAACAGCUACUUCAGCUCAGUUCAUUACGUCUCAUACAAAGAACAACAGAGAGUCCAACUCGCCAGCUUCCCCCCUGCAACCACACCUCCGUCCGUCCGUACAUCCGUACAUACACACACACCGUCUCUCUCACACAUACAUACAGAGAAAAACACACUCUUAUCGUGCUGUUCAUUCACAACACGCAAACCCUGCCUUGGCUUGUUGAACGGCCCCCUAGACAGGGAAACCCCCCUUUUCUCUCUCCCCCUCUCUUUGCUCAUGUCGCUGUGCAUGUGCAUGAGCCAGCAGUCCAAGCUUCAUUCUCCUGCUGCUGCUGCUGCUGCUGCUGCGCCUCCUGCUGCCGUCCACCAGAAUUAAAAGUUUGAGCACAGUGACAUACAUACAUACACACAUAACACACACUCUUCUGAGGGCAUACCUACCCCCCAAUCACGGCGGAUGACUCCUGCUACGCUCUUCCCAGCAAAGAAAGCAAAAGGCGCCUCCUAAGCCGAAACGGAUACCCCUCAGAAUGCACUUUUUCACCCCGCCACAAACAUACAUACAGACAAACAACCCAAGACCGAGUGAAAGAGCGACCUUCACGGCUAGGACGGACACCAUGAUCGCGUCUGCACUUUCCUUUUUACGGUCCCCUCCUCCCUGGAAACAAAAUACACAUAUAACGACGGAGCACACACACAGACAGACAAACACACACACAGACAAACACACACACAGGGGCACACACACAGACACACACAGACACACACAGGCACACAGACAGAGACACACACACAGGCACAGACAGACAGACAGACAGACAGACAGACAAACACACACAGGCACACACACAGACACACACACAGGCACACACACAGACAGACAAACACACACACAGACAAACACACACACACAGAUAUGAAAGAGAGAGAACACACACCUCUGCCCCUUAACAUCCCACCAGCCACCACCACCUAGAACCACCGGUCCUCCUCCACCUCCAUCCUCAACUCUUUGCGAUGCAACCCAGUAACAGCCGCUCUCCCUCUCUCCUCUGCAAUUGUGUUCACAACCUUUCCCACACACCUUUUACCUCCCUAACCGCACCGCACUCCCUUCCUUACCCAUUCCCUCCUUACAGCCAUUCGCCCGCCUCCUCCUCCUCCUCCUCCUCCUCCUCCCUCCAUUCGCCGCCAACUCACCUUACCUCAUCCUUACCUUACAUCAUUCAACUCGGCUCGGCUCACCCCUUACACCCAUUGGUUUGGUUGCAGUGAUGGCGCCAAAAAAUACAACAGCUUGUUAGUUUUGAAAAAAAUGAUGCGUUUUGAUUCACGCAGCAAGGUCAACCAAGAUAUAUAACCCAUAUAACCCAUAUAGGUUUAAUACAUACAUAUAUAUAUAACCCAUAAAAAACCUUUUACACCGGAGCGGGAGGGUGGGACCGCAAGGGGCCCUGCGGCGAUGUGGACGGCGAUAGGUUCACGGCUGUCCAGGGCAACUCGGGAACGUGCUGCAGACAGAUCGGAACGGGGACAGAAGCUGAGGGCGGUGUGGCCGCCGCCGCCGCCGCCGCCGUCCCUGCCAUCGUACCUACAAUGGGCCCGUUGACCGCAUUCUUCUGAAGGUUUUGCAACAUGAGGCCGCCGCCGCCGCCGCCGCCGGCCCCGGCAGCGGCAGCGGCGGCCGAAGCUGUCGCUGCCGCAACCUGCCGUAGCCUACCGCUGAUGUCGGCUGCUCCAGGGUUUUGGCCAGUCACCAUCCAUGGCGGUUGCCGGUACGGAAAUGACGAUGACGGUUGCGGUUGUGGCGGUUGCAUCAUGAUGCCCAUUUGCGUUCGAAUAUCCGACAUGUGCGUUUGGAAAUGGGGACGUGUCUGAGUCUGGGCCUUCCGCGUUUGUUCAGCCUGGGUCUGUACGGCAGCUGUUUCGGCGGAAAGAUGAAAGCGCAAUUGCUGGUUCUGUAGCUGUAGUUGCUGUUGUAGGAAGUUUUGGUUCUGUUGAUACGUGGGAAGAUGAGGCGGCAGUAGCAGCAAGGGUGCGUGAGGGGAAACACCCACCCCUAAAACCGCCGCACACGAUGACUGCUGCUGUUGUAGCUGUUGCGGUUGUAGCUGUUGUUGUGCAGCAAAGGUAUGAUGUGCAGUCUGUUGUUGUGGGACGUACGGGUUGAGUACGACACAGCGGGGGCGGUCUUGGUCAGUGGCAUGCUGGCUGCCUCUGCUUUGUUGUGUUAUGAGUGGAUUGUACGGCUGAGGUUGGGCAGCGGCGGCGGCUCGGGACGAGGCGGCCAAGGCUGCUGCAGCAGCGGCGCCGCCGCCAAGAGACGUGCGAGGCUGCUGACCACGCGCCGUCGAUGCCUGCAGUACAUCAGCGGACGCAAUGGACUGCAUGUGCUGCCUUGCCUGUUGUGGAUCGGAUGGCGAAGCUGCGCCUGGAAGGGUGGCGCCGGGGGAGGUGGCUGCCGCCGCCGCCGCCGCCCCGAUAUGCGACGGAGUUAGGGAGCCACGAGGUCGCGCAGCUCCGCUGCCGCCGUCGCCAGCCGCCGGCGGCUCCUGUUGCCCUCGUCCUACGGCAGGCCUGCCGCUGUCUGACCUGGCCCCGGCGGCUCUGACGGCUGCAGCGUUCCGCGCCCAAACGUCACCUGCGUCGGCUGCUGCCGUACCUGGCCUGCCGAAACUCAACAUCGCCAAAAAGGCGUCCACAUGAGAGCCAAAGUCCAGAUCUGCCGUCGCGGCAAUUUCCAUUGCGCCGCCGCCGCCGCCGCCGCCGCCGCGACCAGUCUCCAAUGCUCGCUGCCGCUGGGCCCCCGACUGCUGCUGCUGCAUCAGCCGCGACAGCAAAAGCGCCGCAGUUUGCUGCUGCUGCUGCAGCAACUGCCGUAGCUCCUGUUGGGAAUACAUCUCCCGGGGAAUUGUCGCCGCCGCCGCCACCUGCGGCAGGCUCAAUAAGGGUCCCUCCCCUUCAAACUCCCGGCGAACGAGGGCCUUAUCCCCCGCGCGAGCAGCCUGACGAAGGGCGUUCCAACCAGGAUGGGGCCGAGCAUUUGCGUGGUCCCUCUGACGGCGACCUGAGGAGGGUUUUGGAGCGUUUUGGAGAGUUUUGGAGAAGGAUUUCGGGAUUUGGGUUUAGUUUUUUUAGAGUUUACACAUCUGAGCACUACUACAAGUCAUGCGGAAGCAAGGCCAAGCAAGGCCAAGCAAGGUAAGGAGGGGAAAGACGACCCACGAGCGAGUGAAGCUGAUGCCAAGGAAAGACUGCUGCGGCGGUAAGGAGGGGGGGAGCUAUGUGCAGAGGCAAGGGGGAAGGAAAGGGACCCAAGGGAAAGGCAGUGAGUGGUUUUCCAUGCCAAGAAACCAAGUUAUGGAAAAGCAGCAGCUGGGAGGUGAAUAAGUUCAUAUAAUUUGUGGUGUAGGAAAUCUCGAGCAAAACCCAGCAAGCAAGCAAGCUCACCGCUGCAUGUGUAAAGUGCAUGUGUAAAGUCAGUGAGGGCUACAAGUGUGUGCGUUAUGUGCGGGGGUUCAUAUGUAGGGGUUGGUGGUCUCCACCAAUCCCCCCCUUGUCCGUUGCUUCAUGCGCCCUCCCUUCCUCGCCACCCAACCACCCAAUCAGAGCUUCGGACGUCGGCACCUGACCCCUUGCUCACUGCUCGCAAUGAUUAAUGCCCCUCUUCCUCCCCUCCGCAUUGGCUUGGCAUUACUGCUUUCUCUGCUUUUUUAGUCCUGGCGGCUUAGGUAGGUAGUUUUUCCGACAUCAUCUUCACUACGUCAUCCCGAGGUCGCCGUCUUCACGGACGCCUUUCGGUCAGUUCUACGUCUGGUACACUCUUGCUCUGGCAGCAGCUUCACUCGUUUGUGGUUCGUCUUUCCCCCCUCUGCACUCUCAAUGGUGGUACCCCUCCUCGGGCCCCCCAUGUGGCCGCCGACUUCCCAAAGAACACAAGACGUAUCCUCGAGGAGGACGUGUGGCGCUGCGCAGUCCCAUUUGUGAUGCGCGAUGACUCCACACACAAAAUGUUUUCAACACCCGACUCAAGUACGAACAAAUGAUUGUCGUACACAACUGUACUGCGACAGUCACAACUGGUCCGUACUGGACACGUACAGACCAUUUCCAUUUCAUUCCUCGUUUUACUUGACUUCCAGAUUAGAGGACCACGUGGCUUGGUUUCAUCACACACGUGUGUGGAGGCAUGUGCAAAUACAUAUGCACACGUACAUGCAUAUGUAAAUAGACUUAGACCCGUACAUAUACGUCCGUACAAUGUCGUACCUGUGCCCCAGAACUGACACUCCGACGCCUUCACAUCGCACACGAAGCAGUAGCACUGAAGAGUUGGUGGAAAGAGAAGCGGAGCGGAGCGGAAAGGGGAGAGGGCGGAUUAAGAAGGCGUCAAAAAGAUGAAUAAUUAUAAAAUGCAAAACACCCGAUCCAGCUAUACUUUUGUCCUUAGCCGACCCCUCCGCAACCGUUACCACCUUCACUCGAAGCAUCCUAACCCAGCCACGACGAGCCCUAACCACCACUACCCCUCUACAUACAUACACAUACACACACACCUGCUCGCAGCACUUGGCAUUGGACUCGACCGCAGCCAUAUCGCGAUCGAAGUGGUGCUCGGCGCAGUGAGGUCGGGGGUGGGCAAGAUCCCGGGUCACCACCUGGAAUGUGAACCAGAUCAAAAAAAGGAUUCAGGAUCCAGAAUCUAGCAAGAAUGGGAUUGAGGAGGCGGGUUAAGAAGGUUGCGGGGUACGGUGCUGGGGGGGUGAGGGGGGGGAAAAGAAUGAGGGAUGUUUCUGAGGGUUUGGCAUGGUUCGGCACAGUCAGGGAUUUUGGGGGUGUUUUGGGUGGGCCCCAGUAAGAGUGAGAAACUGGUGCGGGAUGAGGAUGAAAGGACCGCGGAGCCUUGGAGGGUAGGACGGGGGAGCUGGGGAUGGAGGAAAGGUUGAGAUUCAUACUUUUUCUACUUUUUCAAAGGAUACACGUUUCAAAGCCUGACCAAAACUUAAAGGAGCAGGCUCCUCACCUGUCCCACCAUACCCACGAUGCGAAGCUCCUCAUCGGAUUCUAGAUCGUCACCAUCCUCCGGCUUGUCGCUAAGAGGAGGCUUGUUGACCGCUAUCUUCGGAGAUGGCUGGCGAAUGCAAGGUCGCUUGGCCUGCUGCUGUGAAGCAGCCCCAUCACGGUCGUUGCUUUGGAAUUCACCCACUAUGACAACGUCGCUGUCGUCCGAUGAGGCGCUUGUCGUUGGCGGUGAGACAACGCAUCGCCUCCGGUUUCGGGAGCCCGCAGGCUUACCCUGGCCACCACCAUCAGGGCUCCUAAUCUCGUUGCUUGCAACGCUAUCGUUCUGUUCGUCGUCACUGGUUGGCGCCGGUGAGUUGUUGUUGUUCAAGUGUUCAUGUUGCGAUUCUGAGGCGACGGUUCUCCGAAGUCGCCUACGGCUUCUUUGAGAAAUAAGAGUUGCCGCUUGGAGCUUCUUGUCGCAUGCUUGAGAUGCUGGCUCCUUGAAACGAGCCCUUGUGCGAAACGCGAUGGCGUCCAUGUCGAUGGGUCUAUGCCUCCUAAACUGAACCGUGAUAAGUUUAGGAAAGCUUACAUAGCGCGGAAACUCGCCAGCAUAGCCCAAUCGCAAUGGCCGAGUCGGUGCUGCCUGCGUUCCCUGUGUAACGUCUACGUUUCAGUUCAUUUGCGCCCCAGUACUAAUACAGUAACAGAAUAAGGCAAAACGAUGUUUUCUGUGGGAGGAAACCCAUAUGUUUACAACCUCGCUUGUUUCCAACCGCCACCGCAGCGAAGCGAUGGUUUGGUUAACUUCGCAACGCUUCCUGGUGUACGGAGCGCCUCAAUCAAUAACGCAGCAGCACAUAAUGAGCACACAAGAACAGCACGUGGAAAUAAGACCUCAAGCCUUAAACCUUCAGUUAUGCAACGGACUGCCCCAAAGCGCCGUACGUGCCUGAAUGCGGUUACGUAAAAGAGAAACCCGGUUCAAAUCUAACCCUACUCCCUGCGUGACCGCACUCAGCUCAUGCCUCCAUUAAACCCUCGAGCUUCAUUUAUCCUGCCUUAUAAGCCCUGAGCCCCAGAAAACCAACUUCGCAUUUCAUGACUUUCCAUCCCCUACGCACGAAAAACACCUAUCCCCCACCCAUCCCCUCACUUGCAACCCACAAACGAAAUGGAAAGCCUAACCUGGCAACAGAGCAUCCGUACAGUCUUCCUGACUACUUUCCGACUUCUCCUACAAAGAAAUCGUUUAUAUUCUGCUGCUGCUCCCACAACACAGGUUCAUCUUCCAGUACAAAGUGUAUAUGCAUUGUAAGAAGAAGCUACAAGGCAGCUCAAGCGCCUUCCUUCCCAGCCUCUGAUGUCUUGAUGUGGAUGCCUUGGAAUUAUCAAAUCCAUCUCCCGACGGAAUGGCGGCGCACCGAAAGCGGUUGGAAGGGAACCGAGGGGAACUCAGAUAAUUCCCCCCCUUCGGAAUGUGUUACAGGGUCCACUGGAUCCAUAACGCCAGCGGCAACAAUAUCCCCAUCGGCGCCAACAACAGCAGUAGGCAGCGAUAUAGCGGCAGUACGGCUCACAGCUGCAGUUUAGCUGCCGCAAAGCAGGGAAAGAAGUCAUAACAACACACAACGAAAACCGUUUACCCGAUGAUAUAUGAUGCAGCCAAAGGCCGUUUCCCCUUGAAGAUGAAGAAGAUGCGAUGUGCCACAGCAUCCCGCACAAAUUUUGCAGCACUCUGUCGUACUAUGCCGUACAUUACGGUACUUCUUCACACACGGUAACCCCUGCGUGAAAAAAAACAGGAUGCGAGAUGAAUGACAUAAACAUAAAAAACAUGCCGUACACCCUGCUGUACAGGCUGUGCUGUACACCCCCUGAACAUAAAAGGUCUCUCCACUCGAUGAACUUGCCUCCAGCCGAUCCUCCCGCUGUCGGAAGAUUCGUCCGUGCGUGCGUGCGUGCGUGCGGAAACAUUUCCCAUAAAUCAAUUUAUUCACUUCUCGGCUGUGACUUACCUAUAUUGCUGUGAACAAGGAACUGAAAUGGUCAGUCUGGCUGCGGGCAGAGACACAGCGGCCCCCCCCCCUCAUAUUGCCGUACUUGUUCGUACACCAUGACGUGGCACUACCAACGUUCUCGCCCUCAUCGUAGCUAUCAUCACAUCCUAAUACUCGCAUCCCUUUUACAGCUAUAAAUCAUAACACGUGUUAUUUCAACAAAAAAAAACCGCGUCCCACUGAACCGCAAAAAAAAACACGUCCUCCACUGAGCCGCGACCUAUAUAAGUCUUAUACCUUGCCUUCGCGGCGCGGCUCAUCACCGGCUGUGACCGUUCCCCAACACGGCUCGGGUCUCUCACUCGCUUACAUAUUUUCCCUGUCCACCUACCUACCUAACUUCCUGACCUUCUACCUGACUUCCAAACUGACAACUGCCAACUGCCAACCGACCUAACCUCCCUCGUGACGGCGGCCAUUAUGCAAAUCGUGGUGGCGGUGCCACGUGGUGGCCUCGUAUUAUCUUGGCGAGCUUCUAAUAAAGACGUGCCAGACAGGCAGCAGCACAGGAAUGGCCCCGUCAUGGCUGCGGCGAAAGCGAAAGCUGUAGGGACGGCGGCAGUAGCAGCAGUAGCGUGUUGUCCUUCACGUUUGAGCUGGCUUCGCGAGAGUCCUGCUACAGCCAAAGGUACGAUUGUGCUGAUGCUGCUGCCAGCAGAGGCAUCGUCGCCGUCGCCUCCGGCCUCAUCCCGCCGGCGGCCUCGGCCGUCGCUGCAGGUGCCCCCGCCGCCGCUAGCUGCGGUGGCGGCACUCCGGCGUCCGCUUGCGGCUGUACUGCUGCUGUACUGCUGCUGUACUGCUGCUGUACUGCGGCUUUUUUACUUCCGCCGCAAUGCCCUGCAAUGAGGUUAGUCACUGGCAUCAUAAGCCGAUGUGCCUUCCAACGCAAUUCCCAAACUCAAUUGCUCAAUUUGAUGACCCUGAUCCUGAUCUUUGUGCUCCUGCUGCUCCUGCUCCUGCUGCUGCGGCUCCUGCCUCUGCUGCUGCUGCUCUUCUUCGUGCUGGCUUUGAUGCUGUUCAAGUUCCCCCUGUCCUUGCUGCUGCUGCUGCGGCGGCGGCUGCUCUUCGUGCUGGCUUUGAUGCUGUUCAAGUUCCCCCUGUCCUUGCUGCUGCUGCGGCGGCGGCGGCUGCUCUUCUUUGUGCUGGCUUUGAUGCUGUUCAAGUUCCCCCUGUCCUUGCUGCUGCUGCUGCUGCGGCGGCGGCGGCUGCUCUUCUUUGUGCUGGCUUUGAUGCUGUUCAAGCUCACCCCGUCCUUGCUGCUGCUGCUGCUGCGGCGGCUGCUCCUCUUGUGGGCCCAAAUAACGUGACAACCGAAGCUUCAGUCGUACACGCCGUACCGGGAGUCCACUUCCGGAGGCCCCCUUGCCGACUUCAUCAUCGAGGCCGAGGCGGCUGUCGCCGCCCCUGGCGGCCCCCUCCCUGCCGGCCCCGGCGUCUCCGUCCUUUCCGGCCCGGUUGGCGAUGCUGUCGCCGAUACCGUCUGCCGAGCGUCCUUCAAUCACUGGCCCUUUUGCCGACCCCUACACCGACGAUGAUGGGGGCCCCGUAACCGACUCCUCAUCCAACCUAGGCUCUAUCGCACACGCAUCAGAAAGUGCUCCCCCUCCUCUUCUCUCUCCUCCUGCUGCUGCUGCUACUGCUGCUGCUUCACCUCCACAGCUUUCCCCGCUACCUCCCCCGCCCACAGGAACGACUCUAAAGGCUGCAGCUGCUGCUGCUGCUGCUACGGCAUCCAAAGAUAGCCCUACACGCUCGCCCGACGUCAUGGUCGCCGCCGCCGCGGCUGCGUCCUCCACCUCCUCCGCCUCCUUCACCUCCUCCGCCUCCUCCAACUCCUCCGCGUCCACCGCUGCUAUCUUGGCAGGGCUGCCUGUGCGAGCAGCUACAGCACCGCCGUUGGCGGCGGCGGCGGCGGUGGCUUCGGCGGCGCUGCCGCCGCCGGUAUUGCCACUGCUACGAAGCGCUUGGACGCUGUUUACACGGACGGCGUGCAGAGCCUGAGCACCUGACGUCAUGUUUUGGGCGGCGCUGAGCAUCUCCUCUAGAAAUGAACGCAUAUCCUCGUCAUCCAGAGAAAUCACAACCGCCGGCGACUGUGCCGCCGCCGCAACCUGUUGUUGCUGCUGUUGCUGCUGCUGCUGCUGCGGUGACGUUGGUGAUUGCUGCCUCAGCCGACUGAGGCUCAGCGGUACGGUAAAUCUCCACGGCUCCGCCACCGCCACUGCCGCCGCUGGCAACGACGUCGACGCUGGCGCUGGCGCCGGCUGGGCCUGGGACUGAGCAUGGGAAUGUCUCAUAUGCGCAUGAGGGGGAUUCGAACCGGGGUUCAUGACGUUGCUGACGUUGUUGACGUUGGUGAAGGUGGAGGGCGGAAGGCGGUUUGCAUGGUCCGUGUGACUCAUGCCUGUACGGAAAAGAAAACGGAGACGCGAAGCUUCUUUAGUAGGGCGGCCAGCGUAACGAGUUAGUCAGUCAGUCAGUCAGUCAGUCAGGUUUUGGGAACACCGUCGUGUGCCAACAGCAUGCGAGUNNNNNNNNNNNNNNNNNNNNNNNNNNNNNNNNNNNNNNNNNNNNNNNNNNNNNNNNNNNNNNNNNNNNNNNNNNNNNNNNNNNNNNNNNNNNNNNNNNNNNNNNNNNNNNNNNNNNNNNNNNNNNNNNNNNNNNNNNNNNNNNNNNNNNNNNNNNNNNNNNNNNNNNNNNNNNNNNNNNNNNNNNNNNNNNNNNNNNNNNNNNNNNNNNNNNNNNNNNNNNNNNNNNNNNNNNNNNNNNNNNNNNNNNNNNNNNNNNNNNNNNNNNNNNNNNNNNNNNNNNNNNNNNNNNNNNNNNGGAGGAAGGGAGGAAGGGAGGAAGGGAGGAAGGAAAAUUUGCACAUUAGGAUAUGAAGGAAAGUGCCAGAGAUCUGGAAAAAUAUACGACGGUGUACACGCGAUUUGGGACCACAGAAACAUCACAGAAUGGUAUGGAAGCCAAAAAGAGACAGAAGGCAAUAAGUACGUUUUAAGAUGGCAUCCAACUCUUAUCUUUGGUGGUCGGCGGGUUGGGUGUGUACAAUGGAGAUGGUCGCGAUGUGCGUCACCUGUCGCUGUGUCACAAUCAUGUACACGACAACUCUCCCGUAUCCCCUUCGCUGCCAUACCUGAGCCCCAGCUCCGGCACUGCCUCGCCAUUGACCCGCAAGCGCAACACACGCACUGCGCCGGUGGUUUGGGGAGGGUGCGGUCGCGGUCGCGGUUGCGGUUGCGGACAGUAUGCACGGGUGACGGAGGGCCCGACACGGGGAGCGUGUCGUACGGCGUGUACGGCAUGACAGUCCGCGGCCCAUGCGAGGAGAAGGAAAACCCGGGGCCGGAAACCUUGUUGUACUGCAAGGUAUGCACUACACGGAAUGGAAUGCGGAAGCAUCUUGUCCACACGUCGAUAGCAAGCACUCGCGCACCGGCGACGCACCACUGCCUUCAGCGACCCACGGGUCGAUCUACGCGUGACUGACCCACGGCUUUUAAUAAUCAACAACUCGCAUCGCCCAAAAGGGUUUGGAAGACGUACUACCUACUGACCUACAUAUGCCGUCCCGCCCUCACCGACCCGCGGGUCGCACCCCACAUAGAUAUCCACACACACCUCUGCACACCUGCAUCCAACCCUCUCGCCACGCACCCUCUCGCCGCACCUCACCUGCGCGCAGCACAUCCAGUUCUCCCGGCACCUCGCUCCUGGCCGGAAGGGGUAACUCGGGCAGAGCGGCCGCAGGUGAUGCUGCGGGGGCCCCCCGGCGGGGUGAACACCACCAGCACCACCGACUGCCAGUCGUCCGCCGUCCCCAUCCCCAUCCCCCGGCCAAAAAGAAGGGAGAGAAAUGCCGCCGCCGCCGGCGACGUUGGUGGCUGCCGCCGCCACCACCGCCGGUCCCCGCUGCUGCGGCUGUGGCGCCUUCCGGCCCUCGAACUCGGCGGCUAGGAGCUCCCUUUUCGCAACCGGGUCGCGCGUGUUCCGGACGGCCACGCGAAGUCUGCUCCAGGGACAGCCGGGUCGGGCGUUGGCGUGAUCGCGCGAACUAGCACCUACAGCGGCAGUUGCACAUUUGAAUUUGAAAACAUCAAUCAUCGCUAACACCAAAAAAAAUUAAUAAAAAAGAAACAGAAAAGUUGGUUAAAAUGGAUAUUGUAAAACGAAUAGAAAGACCGUACAGAUACCUUCUACAAGACCAAUAAUAAUAAUAAUAAUAAUAAUAAUAAUAAUAAUAAUAAUAAUAAUAAUAAUAAUAAUAAUAAUAAUAAUAAUAAUAAUAAUAAUAAUAAUUGGCUCAUAAUUGUUGUUUGUUUUCUACUAGUCGUUCGUUAGUUAUCAAUUAUAGCAUCAAGUCAUUAUGAAAGGUUUUGCUGUACUGUGAGCAUGUGUGUACUACACGGUUUGCGGACAUAAACGUCCGUACAAUGCCGUACCUGUGCCCCAGAACUGACACUCCGACGCCUUCACAUCGCACACGAAGCAGUAGCACUGAAGAGUUGGUGGAAAGGGAAGCGAAGCGGAGCGGAAAGAGGGACGGUGCAAGGAUAAGUCAGAGGUGAGUAGGAAAUAUCUUAAGGCGCAGCGAACUGGAGCUCUCACAUCCAGCGUCACAUGCGAGACGGCGUUACAGGAGCAAAAACGAAUUACGAAUCAAAACGCCAGGAUCCACACGCGGGAAUACGAAAAACACGGAAUUUGGGUUCCAUUUGGCUGUUGAGAUCCAAUCUUAAAAUUGCAUGCGACAAUGGCCUGCUAAAACCAUAACAGGGAUAAUCAUAUAAUAUAUUAUUACUUGCCUGCUUGCAGAAAGAUGCGUUAGCGAGAAUUCCACCGUUGUUGACACUGCCGCCGCCGCCGCCGCCGCCGCCGCUGCUGCUGCUGACCGCGCUGGCCGGGACUCUAAACUUGAACUCAAAACAGUCGUGCCGUGGAUGCGGCAGAUCGCGGGUGGGUACCUAGGGAGGGAGCGUUACGAAUGCGGUUACGAAGGCAGGUAUAGCGGAUACGCUGCCGAGCUGGAACCGAAACCUGACCCCAACCGCCAACUACCAACAAACCUUCACACACAUACACAGAGAGAGUAAGUGCACGCACACGCCUUUGAUGCACACCCCCCCUGAUCAUCCAUCAUUCAUCAUUCACCAUCCAUCCAUGAUCAUUGGGGAAAUCAUCACCACGCGUUAAUACACGCAUGCGUCCCUCCCCCUCCCGCACCCUUCACACCAACCGACCUGGCCCUUCAUCUGCACCACUUCCACAUCGGAGUCGGAUCUACUGUCCUCGCCGCCACCACCUUCAUCGGCGUCACGCGCGGCGGCGGCAGCGGCGACGGCGACCCCGCCACCGCAAGCUUCCGCUGCGGCAGCGUCAAAACCGCCCCCGCCCCCGCCACCGCCACCGCACGGGUUGGCGUCGGUAGCUUCCGCGAUGGGUACUGCUGCCGGCAUUGCGGCGGUUGUUGCCGUCGCCACUCGUCCCGCCACGACACCAUGUGCGGCUGCGAUGAUGGCGUUGAUAGCAUCUUGGUUAUCGGGCUGGUCGGGCGCAGCAGGGGAAGGGACGCUGGGAUUAGCCGCUCUGUCUUUAAGCUCGGCUGCUCUGUUUUUGGAGUUGAACGCUCCGUUGUUGUUGGCACCGUUCCUGAAUUGGUGUGGGCCCUGCUCCAGGGCCACCGUUCCACCGAUAGAAGACAUGUGGCCGCCCAUCCUGGGGUUAGCUGACCCACGGCGGCCACGUUGUCCACAACCUACGUUUCCCGGACUAUUUAUUUCGGAUUCUUCGCUUUCGGUAGCAGCAUCGCCGUCAUCGAUGCUGCUGUCAUCUGAGCUGUCCAGGAGCUCGAUGCAUUCUGGCUGGGCUGCGACGCGAGCGGCCGCGUGAGCCCGGGCGCGCUUGGGCGAAGGCUGAAGACCCUCAAUAUCCAGAUCGUCAUCGCCCGUGAGAUCGAUUGUGAAGCUGCCGCUCCGGCGCCCUAAAUGCGCAAGGCCCGACAUAAAAUUCAGGGAAGGCAAAUGAGUUCCUAGGAUUCAAACCAUUAAGGUUAAUCUUAAAAGGCUUUAAUAAAGUGACGCCUCAGAAAACGCCCGUCGAAAAUGAAACGCAAGUAACUAACUGAACCAUCAUUUCACAAGAUGUUUUGGCUGCGAAACUUAUGGCCUAACAGAGCACCUCAUGUGGAUGAGUAUUGCUUGCAUCGGUUAGUCGCGGAGCACAUGAAAAAACACAGGGGAUCGCCGUACGGUGGUUGACACCCAGUGCCCCUUCUGAGCAAAACAUGAGAGCCCGUCCCGCAUGCGCGUUUAAGUUCAUAUAGGUUAACCUGUUGGCUUUGGCCGAAGCCUUUUAGUGCCGACACUGCAAGGAUAGUUUGCUGCAACACCCCUCUCGACGCUGAAGCUGUGAGCUUAAGGAAGAAUGCGCGGCCUUAUGCAAGAAACCCCUUUAAACGUAUGCCAGAUUCUUGACUACGCUGCCAAAUGGCAUCCCGAGCAGCUUGUGAUAUCAAAGAGCGUGGAGGGCCCCGUCCUCUCCUACUCCUACGCGGAGCUUCACAAGCGCGCCCGACUGUGCGCCAUCGCCCUGGGGCAGCUAGGAGUCAAGUAAGCGUCUUUCUUCCUACAAAGUUAUAUCGUAUUAGGGGAUAAGACAGGCUUUGCCCGGCAGUGUGCCGAGUGCGUCGUUUAUCGGCUUUCGCAGCGCAGGAGGGAAAAAAUCUUCGCUUGUAGCUAUGGAGUUUAAAUGCUCAAUUUACUAGUCCUAUCAGGAGUUCCGCAGCUUAGUUUGUGGUAGCACGCUGUCCAGCUCCAUUUACACGUCGGCAUGGCAGCUGCUCUUUUGUGCGGUUUUCACUGCACAAAAUGCUCAUAUCUUAUAAUCCCUGUAUCAUAUAGCUUGCGCCUGGAGGGCCUCGCAGCGAGUCCGUCCUUGUUGGACUUUGCGACAACAUGAGUCGGCAAAAUUCUAUAACUCACAAAAAUGAAAUAAGAAUCGGAACGUAAACAUUUUUUUCAUAGUACUGGCUUUCUCUUGCACGUCUUUUGUAACGCAGGAAGGGAUCCUUCGUGGCUACCUUGGCUUGGAACACGUCACGGCACAUGGAAGCGUGGUACGGCAUUAUGGGUUGCGGAGCGAUCUGCCACACGCUAAACCCGCGCCUCUCGGUCAAGGACCUCACCUACGUUGCGCACGACGCCAAGGUAGUUUUUACUGACUCUGUGCAAGAGUCAGUAGCACUUGUUGUUACACCGGGUUUCUAAGCUUCUAAGCCUAUAGGAGCAGCCAGCCUGAUGCUGCAUGAACCGUAGACACUAAAAGGACACCAACUACUCCGUAACGGUACACACAUACACACACACCUACAGAACAGCCUCGCCGUAGACUAAGACCGAGGCUAGCACCGAUACCGAUCGAGGGACCGUAGGCCUGAUGCGGCGAAACCAUUUAAUCGCGCCCCAAAAAGUAAACCAUCGUUCUGUGGACUGCUCAAUCCGUGAUUUGGGCCUGGCGCGCGGCUUCCUGUACCGGUGUACUGGCGCUUGCACCAACCGACGCCCCGUCUCCACCGCGCUAAUAACCGCCGAAAGGAUGACCGCGUCCCACACACUUUGUGUUGCAUUUCCGUCGGAGGCCGCCCCUCCUGCGGCCAAACCUCCCAAUGGGAUAUUGCCCCUGCGGGCGUCCGAGUCGAAUGCUUGAGUCGGUAGGAAUUCUUUUUUCACGAUAAGGCGUGAAAGCCUCGGGACCCCCCUGUGGUACACACAUGUCGAUAUUCGUGGUGGCAUAUGUUGUAUAAUAUUAUAUGUGUGGUUUUCGCGCACGCGCUUUCACCGUCGGGCAAGGGCUUACGUCCCGGUGCCGUACUGCUUGCCGUGUCUACAUCCGUCGUACAGGACGAGCUGAUCAUUGCAGAUGCAACUAUGGUGCCGCUUCUGGAGAAGGUUCUGCCCGGGGUGCCCUCGAUCCGUACUGUCGUACUACUGACGGACAGGUGUGUGUUUUUCACUUCGUGGGGAAGCGUAAAAGGCCCCCGGGCGCGGAAGAGAUACUCCCCCACACUCCCACGUAUCACGUAUAUAUGUAUCGAUGUAUGUAUGUAUGUAUGUAUGUAUGUAUGUAUGUAUGUGUACGUAUGUAGGAAAUUUGCCAAUAGAAGGUGGAAUGCUGCAAAACGGGGAAGGUGCCGACAGUCCGUCGAUCCGACAAUCCAAAUCACACAGUCGGUUGGGUGGUGCAUGGUGCAUUGUCGGGUAUCAACCUUUUACGGAAUUCGUACGCGAUUCGUACAGCUUUCGUACACUUCCACACAGGCUGAAUAUGCCGUCCCCGGCUGCCCUGGCUGCGCUGGUGGGCGGUGGUGGUGUUGGCGGCGGCGGCGGCGGCGGUGGCGGCGGGGGGCCGAAAGGGCUGUCGGUGGUGGUCCACUGCUACGAGGACUUGUUGGGGGGUGCAGCUGCCCUCCCUGGAGCGCUGGAGGCGUUCUGUUGGGCCCAGGUGAGCAUGAGGGGCCCACCAGGCGAGGCGUACGACACGCACGUGUUUCUUUCUUGUAAUCGUUUGCAUAAAUUGCGCGUGACCGUGUGUGGAUUUGGGUUUUAUCUGGCCUCCCAGAGGCCAGAUUUCCGAGAGGUACCUGGCCAAUGCCAGAGGUGGCGCCUCAGUCAUAAUGGUGCGCAUGCUGCGCCCCUUAAAGGAUAGGUCACCAUCGUACUUAGCCCGUAUGCUCUUGUAAGCGUUGCAUUCAGCAAAAACGUGCAACUCAUCUUCAACCGCUCCGCAGUCACAAGGCCAGCAGGUACGCGCGGUGCGCCCGCGCCCAUUAGGGCGAUUGACCUCUAACUCCCAACAGCCUAACCGGAAAACGCAUGAGCCUGACGCAGGCAGGGCCGCUCCCAACCAGGUCAUAAAGCGACAAGUCAUUGCUUUAAUAAAUCCUAUCAGGAAUGACAUUGUAAUAGUUCAAGAAUUUCGUACCAAAUUGUUCGAAUAUAAAGUUCUCCAACAUCUUUUCUACGCCCAAUGUGGGGCUCGAACCCACGACCACAAGGUUAAGAGCCUUGCGCUCUACCGACUGAGCUAACCGGGCAAGCUGAUGAACAAUUGUCGCUUUGAAUAGUUAUUGAAUAUGGAGCAACGAUAAACAUCCUUAUGACGACCAUUUGAAAUGGCUCUUCCCCCAAACCUUCUGAUUUUUUCCGUACAAUUGGUAUGCGGCAUGUGCGGCAGGUUGAUGAGUACGACGCUUGCGGCAUGUGUUAUACGAGCGGCACUACCGGCAACCCCAAGGUAUACGACACAUUGCAAGGGCAUUGCCGCUUGCCCGCCGAUGUGACCGUACGGUUUGACUCGACCAGGGGGUACAAUACUUAGAACCGGUCUCUGACAUGGCACGUACAUCCGUACACGUUGUUGGGGCACCCUCGAGAGCCGGGCCUUCGGGACAUCGCCGGCUUCCGGUUUCUAACUGAUGAUUGUUGCAUAUUGCAAUUCGCAUGGUGUUCGUCACUCGAGGUGGUGGCCGUUUCCCUGGAGGUGACGUGUUUUUGAUUUCCCCUCGCUCCCCAUGCCGCCCCCUCCCCCGGGGCAUAACCGGCCCGGAGGUGUCGCUAAAUAUUACCUUCCCUUGCCUUGGUUGUCGUACACUAUUGUACUGCCGUACUGCAGGGCGUACUUUACUCGCACCGUGCAAAUUACCUGCACGCGCUGCUGCUGCUCCAGGUGGGUGCGGGGGAGUGGUGACGUGUCUGUUUGUGUGUCUGUGUACAGCAUGUUUGUCGCACACACGCACAUUAGUGUGGAUGCAAAACCCUGCCGAUGAAUUGAUCAAUAGUUUAUCAUCACGGUGUUUUUGUACCGCCAACACUAGCCAACCCCCCCGGUACGGCAAGUUGCGUCAUUGAUUUGAAAUCCAGUGACAGCCGGUGCCCGGACUGUUGCAAAUGUAAUGUCUUGCCACCACUCCCCCCCUUCUCUCCCCCCCUUCUCUCCCCCCCUUCUGGGCCCCCAAAACCCCCACACCCCACCACCGCAGGCGGACAGUCUGCCCCUCUCCGCCUCCUCCUGCUGCCUGGCCGUGGUCCCCAUGUUUCACGCCAAUUCCUGGGGACUGGUGUUCGCGGCGCCGAUGGUGGGUGCAAGAUUGGUGCUGCCAGGUACGUUUGUGUAUGUGUGUGUAUGUAUGUGUGUGUGAGGGGGGACGUUCCUGGGGAUUACCGGGCUAAGGGCCGGGAAGCCGGCUCCUAAAAAGUAGCGUCAUUCACAUCAGCGGGUAGUGGAAAGGAAAGUGAGUGUAGUCCCCCCCGAACCCCCCGGGGGCGCAUGCCGCCACCCCCGUAGUCUCACAGCUGUACGGCAUCCAUGACAGCUGGACUUGACUCAAGAUAUGCCCUCCCCCAUGCGUUGCUGGUUGUGUGUGUGUAUGUAUGUAUGUAUGCAUGGUUCUGCACCUUUCCGCCAACCUCCGGCACCAUCCGGUAUCUAACCCCCAGGAUUCGUUUUCUCGUCUCCUCAUUCCUCCCCCUCGAUUUCCCCUCGCAAUCCCGCUCCUUAAACCCCCUCCCUCCAUCCCCCCAACCCCCUUCCCCCCUCCCCUCCCACUCCCCCUUCCCUCCACCGCACCCGGGGCCGCGGGGCUGUGGGUGCUCCGUGAUAAGGCCCCCAUCUGGACGGUGCCUCCAUCUACUCCCUGAUGGAGACGUACGGCGUUACCGUAUCAGCCGGAGUACCAACCGUAUGGUUGGCGCUAUUGUCGUACUGCGAGGAGCACGGUCUUACAUUAUCCACCCUCCGUAUCGCGUGUAUUGGGGGAGCGGCGGCGCCGCUGAGCAUGUUGGAGGCGUUUGAGAUCAAGUAUGUGGUGGCUGCGAUUCAUCAUAUGUCAGGUUGUGCACUGACGUACGACAUGUCCUGAGACAGUCGUACAUCCCCUGAUACAGGACCUUGAGAACGUUUUCCCUCUCUUCCCCAUUCUCUUUCCCCAAUCCGAAUUUUCCUUCCACGCGUGAUAGGCCCUUGUACCUCCCCCCGCCCCGCCCUGCCCUGCCCUACAACCGUGUUCAGGUUAGAAAUAAACGUCCCACCCCACCCCACCCCACCCCACCCCGGCCCCCGUUGAAGGGACUAAUGGGCAGCUGGUAGUCCCCAAGACGUCGACAGUUGAAGUCCUUUGCUUGCAUGCAUUUCUCCCCCUCGCGCUCUCCACCCUUCCAAACGCCCCCAGAGCCCACCCCGUGUUUUUCGUCCUUGUAUUCGCUAUAUCUUUUAUUCGCUUAAAAUAUUUCCGAAUAAAAUAUUUCCGAAUAAAAUAUUUCCAAAUAAUAUUCUCCCCCUUCGCUCCACGCCUCGCUGAACAGACACGGUGUGGAAGUACGGCACCUGUGGGGUAUGACCGAGCUGACUCCCCUGGGUACGGUAGGCAAUCCCAAACCCGCAUCUACCGGCGGCCGUACACGGCCUGCCAGCGGCCUCGCCGCCACGUCAUCGCCCUCGCCAUCCGCCGCCGCCGCCGCCGCUUCUUUCCGUACUGCCUACCUGGGUGCCAAACUGAAGCAAGGUCGGCCCCACGUGCUGUGCGACAUGCGGAUAGUGGACGAUGCUGGGCGGGAGCUGGCGCACGAUGGCAAGACGGUGGGGCAUCUGCAGGUGAGGUGCGUGUAUGUAUGUAUGUGUGUAGGUGUGUGUACGUAUGUGUGUGUAUGUGUGUGUAUGUGUGUGUAUGUGUGUGUAUGUGUGUGUAUGUGUGUGUAUGUGUGUGUAUGUGUGUGUAUGUGUGUGUAUGUGUGUGUAUGUGUGUGUAUGUGUGUGUAUGUGUGUGUAUGUGUGUGUAUGUGUGUGUAUGUGUGUGUAUGUGUGUAUGUGUGU